rnacentral:rRNA from 1 species
AGUGGCGGACGGGUGAGUAACACGUAAGAAUUUGCCUUUAGGAGGGGGAUAACAACUGGAAACGGUUGCUAAUACCCCAUACGCUUUCGAGUGAAAUGGAUUUCCGCCUAAAGAGAAGCUUGCGGCUGAUUAGCUUGUUGGUAGGGUAAUGGCCUACCAAGGCGACGAUCAGUAUCUGGUUUGAGAGGACGAUCAGACACACUGGAACUGAGACACGGUCCAGACUCCUGCGGGAGGCAGCAGUAGGGAAUUUUCCGCAAUGGGCGAAAGCCUGACGGAGCAAUACCGCGUGAGGGAUGACUGCCUAUGGGUUGUAAACCUCUUUUUUCAGGGAGGAACAAAAUGACGUGUACCUGAAGAAUAAGCAUCGGCUAACUCCGUGCCAGCAGCCGCGGUAAGACGGAGGAUGCAAGUGUUAUCCGGAAUUACUGGGCGUAAAGCGUCUGUAGGUGGCUCGAUAAGUCAACUGUUAAAUCUUGAAGCUCAACUUCAAAAUCGCAGUCGAAACUAUCGGACUAGAGUAUAGUAGAGGUAAAGGGAAUUUCCAGUGGAGCGGUGAAAUGCGUAGAUAUUGGAAAGAACACCGAUGGCGAAAGCACUUUACUGGGCUAUUACUGACACUCAGAGACGAAAGCUAGGGUAGCAAAUGGGAUUAGAUACCCCAGUAGUCCUAGCCGUAAACAAUGGAUACUAGGUGUUG